rnacentral:rRNA from 1 species
UACAGAGGUCCCAAGCGUUGUUCGGAUUCAUUGGGCGUAAAGGGUGCGUAGGCCGCGCCGUAAGUCGGAUGUGAAAUCUCGGGGCUCAACCCUGAAACUGCAUUCGAUACUGCGGUGCUAGAGGACUGGAGAGGAAACUGGAAUUCACGGUGUAGCAGUGAAAUGCGUAGAUAUCGGUGAGGAAGACCUGUGGCGAAGGCGGGUUUCUG